GCAGGGGUGGUCCACAAAUGGCACUAUAGCUGCAAUGACAAUUGUAGAAAAUCUAUACAAAAAAAAAAAAAAACAAAAAAAAAAAAAGGGAGCCGGGGGGGG